GAUGAAGAACGCAGCGAAAUGCGAUAGGUAAUGUGAAUUGCAGAAUUCAGCGAAUCAUCGAAUCUUUGAACGCACAUUGCGCCCUUUGGUAUUCCUUAGGGCAUGCCUGUUCGAGCGUCACUACACACCUUAUCACAAUAUUUGUGGUCUUGGCAGGAGUGAAUUGCUGGUCUAUGGAAGUAUUCCAGCAGUACACAAUGCUAAAAAAUAUGGGAAGGUUACCAGAUAUGAACAACAGACUUUGUAAAUGGUUGUAGGACCUAGAUCAGUCACAAGUCAUGUCUGGUCCCUUACCUUAAGGACCCCCAUCCUAGAUGAACUAUGGGUUGACCUCGGAUCAGGUAGGAAUACCCGCUGAACUUAAGCAUAUCAAUAAGCGGAGGA
rnacentral:misc_RNA from 1 species